GCGGCUGUGGCGUAAUGGUAGCCGCGCCAGAUUUAGGAUCUGGUGCCGAGAGGCGUGUGGGUUCGAGUCCCGUCAGCCGCA
rnacentral:tRNA from 1 species